rnacentral:rRNA from 1 species
CUCUUAGGCAAAUCCGGGAUCACUUACGCCGAGCACCGAGGCGAGUCCUAUGAGGACGAAGUGACUGACACCACGCUUCCAGGAAAAGCCACUAAGCUUCAGCUUAAGAAAAACCGUACCGCAAACCGACACAGGUAGGCAGGGUGAGAAUCCCAAGGCGCUUGAGAGAGCUCGGGUGAAGGAACUAGGCAAAAUGGCACCGUAACUUCGGGAGAAGGUGCGCCCUUUGGUGUGGUCACGUGCGUGACUGAGCAUCGAAGGGUCGCAGUAACCUGGCCGCUGCGACUGUUUAUCAAAAACACAGCACUCUGCAAACACGAAAGUGGACGUAUAGGGUGUGACGCCUGCCCGGUGCUGGAAGGUUAAUUGAUGGGGUCAGCCGCAAGGCGAAGCUCUUGAUCGAAGCCCCAGUAAACGGCGGCCGUAACGAUAACGGUCCUAAGGUAGCGAAAUUCCUUGUCGGGUAAGUUCCGACCUGCACGAAUGGCGUAACGACAGCGGCGCUGUCUCCACCCGAGACUCAGUGAAAUUGAAAUCGCUGUGAAGAUGCAGCGUUCCCGCGGCAAGACGGAAAGACCCCGUGAACCUUUACUAUAGCUUUACACUGAACGUUGAGUUCUUCUGUGUAGGAUAGGUGGGAGGCUAUGAAACCAGGACGCUAGUUCUGGUGGAGCCAUCCUUGAAAUACCACCCUGAAGUGCUUGACGUUCUAACCUAGGCCCGUAAUCCGGGUCAGGGACCGUGUAUGGUGGGUAGUUUGACUGGGGCGGUCUCCUCCCAAAGAGUAACGGAGGAGCACGAAGGUACGCUCAGCGCGGUCGGACAUCGCGCACUGUGUGCAAAGGCAUAAGCGUGCUUGACUGCGAGAUCGACGGAUCAAGCAGGUACGAAAGUAGGUCUUAGUGAUCCGGUGGUUCUGUAUGGAAGGGCCAUCGCUCAACGGAUAAAAGGUACUCCGGGGAUAACAGGCUGAUACCGCCCAAGAGUUCAUAUCGACGGCGGUGUUUGGCACCUCGAUGUCGGCUCAUCACAUCCUGGGGCUGUAGCCGGUCCCAAGGGUAUGGCUGUUCGCCAUUUAAAGUGGUACGCGAGCUGGGUUCAGAACGUCGUGAGACAGUUCGGUCCCUAUCUGUCGUGGGCGUUGGAGAUUUGAGGGGGGCUGCUCCUAGUACGAGAGGACCGGAGUGGACGUUCCGCUGGUGUUCGGGUUGUCAUGCCCAUGGCAUUGCCCGGUAGCUACGAACGGAAGUGAUAACCGCUGAAAGCAUCUAAGCGGGAAGCACGCCCCAAGAUGAGAUCUCCCGAGAGCUUGACUCUCCUAAAGGCACCAUCAAGACUAGGUGGUUGAUAGGUCAGGUGUGGAAGCGCAGCAAUGCGUUGAGCUAACUGAUACUAAUGAGCCGUGAGGCUUGAGC